GGCAUUCACCAGGGGGGUCCCGUCAAGGGGCUGAGAUACUGCUGGGCGGAUCGGCUUUGCCGACCGAGGCGCAGUGACCCGUUGAACCUGAUCCAGUUCAUACUGGCGUAGGGACGGUGCAGACAUUGACGC
rnacentral:ncRNA from 2 species